GCAGUAAUGCGUGAAGGCUGAAUUCAGAGAAUCGGAGAGAGUUUUAUGCCGAAAAAUAUUAAGAAUGCAAAUAUACGCUUAGCACACUUCACAGAAGAUUUGUUUGUGAGAAGUAAGAAGAUUUGACCUCCUAUGGACAUUCGAAGACGGUCGCUUUUGCCGAGUGCAGUUCCAACAUUAUUGUUACCAAAAACGGAAAAUAGUGACAAUGAAAGUAAUAUGGACUUCAAAGUCAUAGCCGAAGAUUUUCCGCUUCCCGUCACGAAAAUGUACAUGCAGUCUUCCGAGUUACUCGUCAGCCCUGAUGAUCCAUCGAAUAUACAGGAAUGUAUGAUAGAUGUAGAAUCACCAGGGUCGAUUUAGAAGUAAUUGAAGGCUGGAGGAAACAUAUGCAAUGUGUCGAACGUCACCAAAAACAAGAAAAAA
rnacentral:lncRNA from 13 species